UACGUAGGGUGCGAGCGUUAAUCGGAAUUACUGGGCGUAAAGCGUGCGUAGGCGGUUUGUUAAGUCUGUCGUGAAAGCCCCGGGCUCAACCUGGGAAUGGCGAUGGAUACUGGCGAGCUAGAGUACGGUAGAGGAGAGUGGAAUUCCCGGUGUAGCAGUGAAAUGCGUAGAGAUCGGGAGGAACAUCAGUUGCGAAGGCGGCUCUCUGGACCAGUACUGACGCUGAGGCACGAAAGCGUGGGGGAGCAAACGGGG
rnacentral:rRNA from 1 species